rnacentral:rRNA from 1 species
CACGUAGGCGGCCUGGUAAGUCAGAUGUGAAAGCCCGGGGCUUAACCCCGGAAGUGCAUUUGAUACUGUCAGGCUUGAGUAUGGGAGAGGGAAGUGGAAUUCCUGGUGUAGGGGUGAAAUUCGUAGAUAUCAGGAGGAACACCGGUGGCGAAGGCGACUUCCUGGACCAAUACUGACGCUGAGGUGCGAAGGCGUGGGUAGCAAACA